UCAGGACGAACGCUGGCGGCGUGCUUAACACAUGCAAGUCGAACGGUGAACCAGAGCUUGCUCUGGGGAUCAGUGGCGAACGGGUGAGUAACACGUGGGCAACCUGCCCCAGACUCUGGGAUAACCUCGGGAAACCGAUGCUAAUACCGGAUACGACCACUUCGGACAUCCGACGGUGGUGGAAAGUUUUUCGGUCUGGGAUGGGCCCGCGGCCUAUCAGCUAGUUGGUGGGGCAAUGGCCUACCAAGGCGACGACGGGUAGCCGGCCUGAGAGGGCGACCGGCCACACUGGAACUGAGACACGGUCCAGACUCCUACGGGAGGCAGCAGUGGGGAAUAUUGCACAAUGGGCGAAAGCCUGAUGCAGCGACGCCGCGUGAGGGACGACGGCCUUCGGGUUGUAAACCUCUUUCAGCAGGGACGAAGCGAAAGUGACUGUACCUGCAGAAGAAGCACCGGCUAACUACGUG
rnacentral:rRNA from 1 species